AAGUCGUAACAAGGUUACCGUAGGUGAACCUGCGGUUGGAUCAUUAACAAAUAAUUUAGGCCCCUGGCUGCCUCAAAAGGGCGAAGGGGGAAAACCUAAACAUUUGUGUGCACCAUAUCUGUCCUUGGCAGUUCGAGUGUCCUGGGUCGCGUAACUGCCUCAGGUACCUACCGAGGCUUUCCUCUCGGGGUUUGCCAAAGUUGGGCUGCCGCUUCUAGAACAAACCUUUUGUAAAUUAUUUUUGCCUGAAUUUGUUUGAUCUUUAUGAUUGAAUUUAAAUACAACUUUUGACAACGGAUCUCUUGGCUCUC
rnacentral:misc_RNA from 1 species